rnacentral:rRNA from 1 species
GAUUAACGCUGGCGGCGUGCCUUAUGCAUGCAAGUGGAACGAGCACCGCAAGGUGCUAGUCGCGAACGGGUGCGUAACACGUAAGUAACCUGCCCUUAAGUAUAGGAUAAUCCACCGAAAGGUGGAAUAAUACUGUAUGUGAUCCUUUCUCACAUGAGGAAGUCUUAAAGCCGUAAGGCGCUUGAGGAUGGGCUUGCGACCGAUUAGCUAGUUGGUGAGGUAACGGCCCACAAGGCGACGAUCGGUAGCUGGUUUGAGAGGACGACCAGCCACACGGGGACUGAGACACGGCCCCGACUCCUACGGGAGGCAGCAGCAAGGAAUAUUGCGCAAUGGGCGAAAGCCUGACGCAGCGACGCCGCGUGAGGGAAGAAGGUCUUCGGAUUGUAAACCUCUUUUCUUAGGGAAGAAUAAUGACGGUACCUGAGGAAUAAGUCACGGCUAACUACGUGCCAGCAGCCGCGGUAACAC